rnacentral:rRNA from 1 species
UACGUAGGGGGCUAGCGUUGUCCGGAAUCAUUGGGCGUAAAGAGCGUGUAGGCGGCCCGGUAAGUCCGCUGUGAAAGUCGGGGGCUCAACCCUCGAAUGCCGGUGGAUACUGUCGGGCUAGAGUGCGGAAGAGGCGAGUGGAAUUCCUGGUGUAGCGGUGAAAUGCGCAGAUAUCAGGAGGAACACCGAUUGCGAAGGCAGCUCGCUGGGACGUAACUGACGCUGAGAAGCGAAAGCAUGGGGAGCGAACAGG